GUAACUCAUUCAUCAUUUGUUCUUCAUGGGAUCAUCAUUUUAUAUUGUUUAUGUUUCAUUGCGUACAUCACUUUAUAUGCUCCAGUUUUAGGAGUUUUAUACAGGACAGUGUAGGAACCCAUGUUACUUUCCCCUCUCUUCUGAGUGACGAAAACUGCUCAACAGGCCGUGUGCACAACUGCAAGGAACAUUCAGCGGACACGUUGUCCAAAGGAACAAUUCGUGGCUAACCACAGCUUUUUCACCAUUUGGAUUGGUAGUGAAAUAAAAGUCAGCUCCUGAU